UACGAAGGGGGCUAGCGUUGCUCGGAAUCACUGGGCGUAAAGGGUGCGUAGGCGGGUCUUUAAGUCAGGGGUGAAAUCCUGGAGCUCAACUCCAGAACUGCCUUUGAUACUGGGGAUCUCGAGUCCGGAAGAGGUGAGUGGAACUGCGAGUGUAGAGGUGAAAUUCGUAGAUAUUCGCAAGAACACCAGUGGCGAAGGCGGCUCACUGGUCCGGUACUGACGCUGAGGUGCGAAAGCGUGGGGAGCAAACAGG
rnacentral:rRNA from 1 species